rnacentral:rRNA from 1 species
GUGUCAGCCGCCGCGGUAAUACGAAGGGGGCUAUCGUUGUUCGGAAUUACUGGGCGUAAAGCGCACGUAGGCGGAUUGACAAGUCAGGGGUGAAAUCCCGGGGCUCAACCUCGGAACUGCCUUUGAUACUGUCAGUCUAGAGUCCGGAAGAGGUGGGUGGAAUUCCUAGUGUAGAGGUGAAAUUCGCAGAUAUUAGGAAGAACACCGGUGGCGAAGGCGGCCCACUGGUCCGGUACUGACGCUGAGGUGCGAAAGCGUGGGGAGCAAACAGGAUUAGAUACCCUAGUAGUCC